GUGCUCACUUCGACAGCACAUAUACUAAAAUUAGAAUGAUCCAGAGAAGAUUAGCAUGGCCCCUGUGCAAGGACAAUGUGCAAAUUCAUGAAGCAUUCCAUAUUUUA
ensembl:snRNA U6 U6 spliceosomal RNA